AUUGAACGCUGGCGGCAGGCCUAACACAUGCAAGUCGAACGAGUGGCGGACGGGUGAGUAAUGUCUGGGAAACUGCCUGAUGGAGGGGGAUAACUACUGGAAACGGUAGCUAAUACCGCAUACCAUCAGAUGUGCCCAGAUGGGAUUAGCUAGUAGGUGGGGUAACGGAUAACCUAGGCGACGAUCCCUAGCUGGUCUGAGAGGAUGACCAGCCAAACUGGAACUGAGACACGGUCCAGACUCCGACGGGAGGAAGCAUUGGGUAAUAUUGCACAAUGGGCGCAAGCCUGAUGCAGCCAUGCCGCGUGUAUGAAGAAGGCCUUCGGGUUGGAAAGUACUUGCAGCGGUGAGGCGUUACCCGCAGAAGAAGCACCGGCUAACUCCGGGCCAGCAGCCGCGGUAAUUC
rnacentral:rRNA from 1 species